rnacentral:rRNA from 1 species
GAGGAAUAAGCAUCGGCUAACUCCGUGCCAGCAGCCGCGGUAAUACGGGGGAUGCAAGCGUUAUCCGGAAUCAUUGGGCGUAAAGCGCCUGUAGGUUGUUUAAUAAGUCUGUUGUUAAAGACUAGGGCUUAACCCUAGAAAAGCAAUGGAAACUACUAGACUAGAGUAUGGCAGGGGUAGAGGGAAUUUCUAGUGUAGCGGUGAAAUGCGUAGAUAUUAGAAAGAACACCGGUGGCGAAAGCGCUCUACUGGACCAUUACUGACACUCAGAGGCGAAAGCUAGGGUAGCAAAAGGGAUUAGAUACCCCUGUAGUCCUAGCCGUAAACGAUGGAUACUAGAUGUUGUGCAUAACGUACAGUAUCGUAGCUAACGCGUUAAGUAUCCCGCCUGGGGAGUACGCUCGCAAGGGUGAAACUCAAAGGAAUUGACGGGGGCCCGCACAAGCGGUGGAGCAUGUGGUUUAAUUCGAUGCAACGCGAAGAACCUUACCAGGGCUUGACAUACUACAAAUUCUUUUGAGAAAAAGAAGUGCCUUCGGGAAUGUAGAUACAGGUGGUGCAUGGCUGUCGUCAGCUCGUGUCGUGAGAUGUUGGGUUAAGUCCCGCAACGAGCGCAACCCUUAUUUUUAGUUACUAAUUCGUUAGGUUCUCUAGAAAGACUGCCGGUGACAAACCGGAGGAAGGUGAGGAUGACGUCAAGUCAGCAUGCCCCUUAUGUCCUGGGCUACACACGUGCUACAAUGGUUAAGACAAAGAGUCGCGAGCUCGCGAGAGUCAGCUAAUCUCAUAAACUUAGCCUAAGUUCAGAUUGUAGGCUGCAACUCGCCUACAUGAAG